rnacentral:rRNA from 1 species
UACAGAGGGGGCAAGCGUUGUUCGGAAUUACUGGGCGUAAAGGGCGCGUAGGCGGCCCGCUAAGUCGAACGUGAAAUCCCCGGGCUCAACCCGGGAACUGCGUCCGAUACUGGCAGGCUUGAAUCCGGGAGAGGGAUGCGGAAUUCCAGGUGUAGCGGUGAAAUGCGUAGAUAUCUGGAGGAACACCGGUGGCGAAGGCGGCAUCCUGGACCGCUAUUGACGCUGAGGCGCGAAAGCCAGGGGAGCAAACAGG